rnacentral:rRNA from 1 species
AAUAGAUACCCUGGUAGUCCACGCCGUAAACGAUGAGUGCUAAGUGUUAGGGGGGUUCCACCCCUUAGUGCUGCAGCUAACGCAUUAAGCACUCCGCCUGGGGAGUACGGUCGCAAGACUGAAACUCAAAGGAAUUGACGGGGGCCCGCACAAGCGGUGGAGCAUGUGGUUUAAUUCGAAGCAACGCGAAGAACCUUACCAGGUCUUGACAUCCCGCUGACCGCCAUGGAGACAUGGCCUUCCCUUCGGGGACAGCGGUGACAGGUGGUGCAUGGUUGUCGUCAGCUCGUGUCGUGAGAUGUCGGGUUAAGUCCCGCAACGAGCGCAACCCUUGUCCUUAGUUGCCAUCAUUCAGUUGGGCACUCUAAGGAGACUGCCGUACAAAUACGGAGGAAGGUGGGGAUGACGUCAAAUCAUCAUGCCCCUUAUGACCUGGGCUACACACGUGCUACAAUGGGUGGUACAAAGGGCGGCGAACCCGCGAGGGGGAGCGAAUCCCAAAAAGCCACUCUCAGUUCGGAUUGCAGGCUGCAACC